rnacentral:rRNA from 1 species
AUUGAACGCUGGCGGCAGGCCUAACACAUGCAAGUCGAGCGGAUGAAGGGAGCUUGCUCCUGGAUUCAGCGGCGGACGGGUGAGUAAUGCCUAGGAAUCUGCCUGGUAGUGGGGGAUAACGUCUGGAAACGGGCGCUAAUACCGCAUACGUCCUGAGGGAGCAAGUGGGGGAUCUUCGGACCUCACGCUAGCAGAUGAGCCUAGGUCGGGGUAGCUAGUUGGUGGGGUAAAGGCCUACUAAGGCGAGCAUCCGUACUUGGCGGAGAGGAUGAUCAGUCACACUGGAGCUGAGACACGGUCCAGGCGCCUGCGGGAGGGAGCAGUGGGGAAUAUUGGACAAUGGUCGGAAGCCUGAUCCAGCCAUGCGGCGUGUGUGAAGGAGGCCUUCGGAUUGUAAAGCACUUUAAGUUGGGGGAAAGGGCAGUAAGUUGAUACCUUGCUGUAUUGACGUUACCAACAGAAGAAGCACCGGCUAACUUCGUG